AGUUAUUAACCCAUCAUGUGUUUGGAUUUUUUCUCCCCAGUCCCUGGCUCCACCUCUUCUACCACAAACGUCAGCAUGGUGGUAUCUGCGGGCCCUUGGCCCAGUGAGAAGUCAGAGAUGAAUACUCUAGAAAUCAACGAGAAACUGCGCCCCCAGCGGGCAGAGAACAAACGUCAAUUCAUAAACACCAAGGAGAAAUAUCUUGUAACUCAAGUGGCCUACUUUCUGGCCAAGGGGCAGAACAGUUACAACUAUGAAGAGUGCAAAGACCUCCUAAAAUCUAUGCUGCGGGAUGAGCUUCAGUUAAAGGAGGAGAAGCUUGCAGAGCAGCUCGGGCAAGCUGAAGAGCUCAGACAAUAUAAAGUCCUGGUUCAGUCUCAGGAACGAGACUGAGCCAAUUAAAGGAGAAGUUGCGGGAAGGGAGAGAUGCCUCCCGCGCAUUGAAUCAGCAUCUCCAGGCCCUCCUCACUCCGGAUGAGCCGGCCACCUCCCAGGGGCGGGACCUCCGAGAACAGCUGGCCGAGGGCUGUAGGCUGGCACAGCACCUCGUCCGAAAGCUCACCCCAGAAAACGGUGAAGAUGAGGAUGAAGAUGUGAACGUUGAGGAAACUGAAAAAGUACAGGAAUCACGUGCCCCCAGGGAGGUGCAGAAGGCUGAGAGAAGGAAGAACCUGCGGACUCACUGGAGGAAUAUUCCAUCGCUUGUUCAAAUAGCCACGGUCCUUGUGAGUCCCACCAGCCUCACAGCGACACCAAAAUCACAUUUGAGGAAGACCAAGUCAACUCACAUCUCAUUGACUCAUCCUCUCAUGAUGAAUGGGAGGAUGCUGUAUCCAUUAUCCCAGAAAAUGAAAGUGAUCAUGAAGAAGAGGAAGAAAAAGGGCCAGUGUCUCCCAGGAAUCUGCAGGAGUCUGAAGGAGGAAGCUCUCCAGGAAUCCUGGGAUGAAGGUUAUUCGACUCCCUCAAUUCCUCCUGACAUGUCUGCCUCAUACCGUCUUACAGCAGCACCUUUCACUCAUUAGAGGAACACAAGCCCCAUCUGAAUUUAUUUGCAGGACAUUGGUGUGAUGAAGUGAAAAAGGAGGACCAAGAGGCCACAGGUCCAGGUGAGUCUGAGAAAUUGUGGACAGAACUGCUGGAUGAGAAAGAGCCUGAAGCCUUGCAGGACUCACUGGAUAGAUUUUAUUCAACCCUUGCGGGUAUCUUGAACUGCCUGACUUAUGCCAGCCCUACAGAAAUGCCUUCUGUUCGUUGGAAGAAGAGCACUUUGGCUUGGCUCUUGACAUGGACAAAAUUGAAAAGUACCAAGAAGGGGAAGAAGAUCAAAACCCACCAUGCCCCAGGCUCAACGGGGUGCUGAUGGAAGCAGGAGAGCCUGAAGUCUUGCAGGACUCACUGAAUGGAUGUUAUUGGACUCCUUCAAGUUACUUUCUACUACCUGACUCAUUCCAGCACUACACAAGUGGCUUUUACUCACUUGAGGAACAGCACGUCAGCUUGGCCCUUGACGUGGACAAUGGGUUUUUACUUUGACGAUGAUAAGGUUCCACCUGGGUUUCCAGAUGGGAGUCCUAUUCCCAUACUAAGCAGCCCUUCCUAAGCUGAGAGAUGUCAUUGCCGCAGGCAGGACUUACAGGCACAUGUAGGUUUGAAUGAAACUGUAGUUCCGUUUGGAAUCCCAGAUAUAGGAUAGGAAAGUGGGCAGAACUCUAUUCCAUUCUCAGACCAUGCAUGGCAACCUGUGCUCAGUCUGAAGACACUGGACCCAAGUUAGGUGUGACACGUUCACAUAACUCUGCAGCACAUGCCGGGAGUGAAUGUGAGAUAUUCUGAUUUGAACCAGGUAUCUCUGGGUAGCUACAAAGUUCCUCAAGGAUUUCAUUUUACGGGCAUGUCUCUGAGCUUCUAUGCCUGCUCAAGGUCAGUGUCAUCUUUGUGUUUAAGUCAUCCAAAGGUGUUACCCUGGUUUCAAUGAACCUCCCCCAUUCUUUGUAUCUUCAGUGUUGGUUUGUUUUAGCUGAUCCAUCUGUAACACAGGAGGGAUCCUUGGCUGAGGAUUGUAUUUCAGAACCACUGACCGCUCUUGACAAUUGUUAACCCACUAGGCUCCUUUGGUUAGAGAAGCCACAGUCCUUCAGCCUCCAAUUGCUAUCAAUACUUAGGAAGACCACAGCUAGAUGGACAAACAGCGUGGAGAGCCCUUAGCCCGGCUCCUCUCAAUUCCAUCCUGUAAAGAACAGGAGCCAGGAGCCGCUGGCAGGAGACAGCAUGUCACCCGGGACUCUGCCGGUGCAGAAUAUGAACAAUGCCAUGUUCUUGCAGAAAACGCUUAGCCUGAGUUUCAUAGGAGGUAAUCACCGGACAACUGCAGAAUGUAGAACACUGAGCAGGACGACUGGCCUGUCUCCUUCACACAGUCCAUGUCACCACGAAUCUCACAACAAAAAGGAGAAGAGAUAUUUUGGGUUCAAAGAAAGUAAAAAGGUACUGUAGCUACAUUUCUUUAUUUUGAACCCCAAAUAUUUCCUCAUCUUUUUGUUGUUGUCAUUGAUUGUGGUGACAUGGACUCGUUUGUAGAGGACAGGUCAGCUGUCUGGCUCAAUGAUCUACAUUCUGAAGUUGUCUGAAAAUGUCUUCAUGAUUCAAUUCAGCCUAAACGUUUUGCCAGGAACACUGCAGAGUCAAUACUGUGACUUUCCAACCUCAGCCUGUCUAUCUGCGGGCAUAGAAGGUCUAGUUUGUCCAUCACCAUUAUCAUGAUAUCAGGACUGGUUACUUGGUUAAGGAGGGGUCUAGGAGAUCUGUUGCUUUUAAAGACACCUUACUUAUAAUGAAGUAUUUGAGAAAGUGGUUUUUAAAAGUAUAAAUGUCAUGUAUUCCAAUCAUCA